CAACUACUCCCUCUGUCCCAAAUUUCUUGUCUUUGAUUUGUUUAGAUACGGAUGUAUCUAAUACUAAAAUGUGACUUGAUACAUCCGUAUCUAGACAAAUCUAAGACAAGAAUUUUGGGACGGAGGGAUUACUUU
rnacentral:pre_miRNA from 1 species